UACGUAGGGUGCAAGCGUUAAUCGGAAUUACUGGGCGUAAAGCGUGCGCAGGCGGUUUUGUAAGCCAGAUGUGAAAUCCCCGGGCUCAACCUGGGAAUGGCAUUUGGGACUGCAAGGCUGGAGUGCGGCAGAGGAGACUGGAAUUCCUGGUGUAGCAGUGAAAUGCGUAGAUAUCAGGAGGAAUACCGAUGGCGAAGGCAGGUCUCUGGGCUGACACUGACGCUCAUGCACGAAAGCGUGGGGAGC
rnacentral:rRNA from 1 species